rnacentral:rRNA from 1 species
CGCGGCCUAUCAGCUUGUUGGUGAGGUAAUGGCUCACCAAGGCGACGACGGGUAGCCGGCCUGAGAGGGCGACCGGCCACACUGGGACCGAGACACGGCCCAGACUCCUACGGGAGGCAGCAGUGGGGAAUCUUGCGCAAUGGGCGAAAGCCUGACGCAGCGACGCUGCGUGGGGGAUGAAGGCCUUCGGGUUGUAAACCCCUUUCGGCAGGGACGAAGCGAAAGUGACGGUACCUGCAGAAGAAGCACCGGCUAACUACGUGCCAGCAGCCGCGGUAAUACGUAGGGUGCGAGCGUUGUCCGGAAUUAUUGGGCGUAAAGAGCUCGUAGGCGGCUUGUCGCGUCGGAUGUGAAAGCCCGGGGCUUAACCCCGGGUCUGCAUUCGAUACGGGCAGGCUAGAGUUCGGUAGGGGAGAUCGGAAUUCCUGGUGUAGCGGUGAAAUGCGCAGAUAUCAGGAGGAACACCGGUGGCGAAGGCGGAUCUCUGGGCCGAUACUGACGCUGAGGAGCGAAAGCGUGGGGAGCGAACAGGAUUAGAUACCCUGGUAGUCCACGCCGUAAACGUUGGGCACUAGGUGUGGGUUUCAACCAACGAGAUCCGCGCCGUCGCUAACGCAUUAAGUGCCCCGCCUGGGGGAGUACGGA